AAGCGACCUGGAAAGGUCCGUCGUAGAGGGUAACAACCCCGUAGUCGAAACUUCGUUCUCUCUUGAAUGUAUCCUGAGUACGGCGGAACACGUGAAAUUCCGUCGGAAUCUGGGAGGACCAUCUCCCAAGGCUAAAUACUCCCUAGUGAUCGAUAGUGAACCAGUACCGUGAGGGAAAGGUGAAAAGCACCCCGGAAGGGGAGUGAAAGAGAUCCUGAAACCGUGUGCCUACAAAUAGUCAGAGCCCGUUAAUGGGUGAUGGCGUGCCUUUUGUAGAAUGAACCGGCGAGUUACGAUCCCGUGCAAGGUUAAGCUGAAGAGGCGGAGCCGCAGCGAAAGCGAGUCUGAAUAGGGCGUUUAGUACGUGGUCGUAGACCCGAAACCAGGUGAUCUACCCAUGUCCAGGGUGAAGUUCAGGUAACACUGAAUGGAGGCCCGAACCCACGCACGUUGAAAAGUGCGGGGAUGAGGUGUGGGUAGCGGAGAAAUUCCAAUCGAACCUGGAGAUAGCUGGUUCUCCCCGAAAUAGCUUUAGGGCUAGCCUUAAGUGUAAGAGUCUUGGAGGUAGAGCACUGAUUGAACUAGGGGUCCUCAUCGGAUUACCGAAUUCAGUCAAACUCCGAAUGCCAAUGACUUAUCCUUAGGAGUCAGACUGCGAGUGAUAAGAUCCGUAGUCAAGAGGGAAACAGCCCAGAUCGCCAGCUAAGGUCCCAAAGUGUGUAUUAAGUGGAAAAGGAUGUGGAGUUGCUUAGACAACUAGGAUGUUGGCUUAGAAGCAGCCACCAUUUAAAGAGUGCGUAAUAGCUCACUAGUCGAGUGACUCUGCGCCGAAAAUGUACCGGGGCUAAAUACACCACCGAAGCUGCGAAUUGAUACCAAUGGUAUCAGUGGUAGGGGAGC
rnacentral:rRNA from 1 species